rnacentral:rRNA from 1 species
CUAGCUUGCUAGAUUGAUGGCGAGUGGCGAACGGGUGAGUAAUACAUCGGAACGUGCCCUGUAGUGGGGGAUAACUAGUCGAAAGAUUAGCUAAUACCGCAUACGACCUGAGGGUGAAAGUGGGGGACCGCAAGGCCUCAUGCUAUAGGAGCGGCCGAUGUCUGAUUAGCUAGUUGGUGAGGUAAAGGCUCACCAAGGCGACGAUCAGUAGCUGGUCUGAGAGGACGAUCAGCCACACUGGGACUGAGACACGGCCCAGACUCCUACGGGAGGCAGCAGUGGGGAAUUUUGGACAAUGGGCGAAAGCCUGAUCCAGCAAUGCCGCGUGUGUGAAGAAGGCCUUCGGGUUGUAAAGCACUUUUGUCCGGAAAGAAAUGGCUCUGGUUAAUACCUGGGGUCGAUGACGGUACCGGAAGAAUAAGGACCGGCUAACUACGUGCCAGCAGCCGCGGUAAUACGUAGGGUCCAAGCGUUAAUCGGAAUUACUGGGCGUAAAGCGUGCGCAGGCGGUUGUGCAAGACCGAUGUGAAAUCCCCGAGCUUAACUUGGGAAUUGCAUUGGUGACUGCACGGCUAGAGUGUGUCAGAGGGGGGUAGAAUUCCACGUGUAGCAGUGAAAUGCGUAGAGAUGUGGAGGAAUACCGAUGGCGAAGGCAGCCCCCUGGGAUAACACUGACGCUCAUGCACGAAAGCGUGGGGAGCAAACAGGAUUAGAUACCCUGGUAGUCCACGCCCUAAACGAUGUCAACUAGUUGUUGGGGAUUCAUUUCCUUAGUAACGUAGCUAACGCGUGAAGUUGACCGCCUGGGGAGUACGGUCGCAAGAUUAAAACUCAAAGGAAUUGACGGGGACCCGCACAAGCGGUGGAUGAUGUGGAUUAAUUCGAUGCAACGCGAAAAACCUUACCUACCCUUGACAUGCCACUAACGAAGCAGAGAUGCAUUAGGUGCUCGAAAGAGAAAGUGGACACAGGUGCUGCAUGGCUGUCGUCAGCUCGUGUCGUGAGAUGCUGGGUUAAGUCCCGCAACGAGCGCAACCCUUGUCUCUAGUUGCUACGAAAGGGCACUCUAGAGAGACUGCCGGUGACAAACCGGAGGAAGGUGGGGAUGACGUCAAGUCCUCAUGGCCCUUAUGGGUAGGGCUUCACACGUCAUACAAUGGUGCAUACAGAGGGUUGCCAAGCCGCGAGGUGGAGCUAAUCCCAGAAAAUGCAUCGUAGUCCGGAUCGUAGUCUGCAACUCGAC